GGCGGCAUGGUGCAGUGGGUAGCACUGUUGCCUCACAGCAAGGAGGUUGUGGGUUCGAAUCUCGGCUUUGGGGCCU
rnacentral:tRNA from 1 species